GAGGAGGAGGAGGCUCAUCGUCAUCUGAGGAGGGUGGACGAGGAGGCUACAAAGGCUGUUACGUGGACCAAAGAAACCGAGUUUUCCCACAUGCACAAACGUCUUCCAACAGCAUGACAACAGCUGUAUGUGUGGCCCACUGCCGGAGGAAUGGGUACGCCUACGCAGGUACACAGUACGCAAGUCAGUGCUUCUGUGGGACGGCGGCGGAGUUUGCCAGGCUGCGGUCUUCAGGAGGCUGCAACAAACGGUGCAAAGGGAACAGUAAAGAGAUCUGUGGAGGAACAUGGCGGAUGUCGGUCUACGUGAU